rnacentral:rRNA from 1 species
CCUACGGGAGGCAGCAGUAGGGAAUAUUGCUCAAUGGGGGAAACCCUGAAGCAGCAACGCCGCGUGGAGGAUGAAGGUUUUCGGAUUGUAAACUCCUUUUGUUAGAGAAGAAAAUGACGGUAUCUAACGAAUAAGCACCGGCUAACUCCGUGCCAGCAGCCGCGGUAAUACGGAGGGGGCAAGCGUUACUCGGAAUCACUGGGCGUAAAGAGGGCGUAGGCGGGAUAGCAAGUCAGAUGUGAAAUCCUAUGGCUUAACCAUAGAACUGCAUUUGAAAUUGUUAUUCUAGAGUAUGGGAGAGGUAGGUGGAAUUCUUGGUGUAGGGGUAAAAUCCGUAGAGAUCAAGAGGAAUACUCAUUGCGAAGGCGACCUGCUAGAACAUAACUGACGCUGAGGCGCGAAAGCGUGGGGAGCAAACAGGAUUAGAUACCCGUGUAGUC